rnacentral:rRNA from 1 species
GUUGAACGCUGGCGGCGUGCUUAACACAUGCAAGUCGAUCGGUAACAGGUGUAGCAAUACAUGCUGACGAGAGGCGGACGGGUGAGGAAUAUUUGGGAAUCUGCCCAUCAGCGGGGGACAACCCGGGGAAACCCGGGCUAAUACCGCAUACGCUCUACGGAGGAAAGCCGGGGACCGCAAGGCCUGGCACUGAUGGAUGAGCCCAAAUCGGAUGAGCUAGUUGGCGGGGUAACGGCCCACCAAGGCGACGAUCCGUAGCUGGUCUGAGAGGACGAUCAGCCACACCGGAACUGAGGCACGGUCCGGACUCCUACGGGAGGCAGCAGUGGGGAAUAUUGGACAAUGGGGGAAACCCUGAUCCAGCGACGCCGCGUGGGUGAAGAAGGCCUGCGGGUUGUAAAGCCCUUUCGGUAGGGACGAAAGCUCUUGCUCUAACAAAGCAGGAGGUUGACUUAACCUACAUAAGAAGCACCGGCUAACUCUGUGCCAGCAGCCGCGGUAAUACAGAGGGUGCGAGCGUUAAUCGGAAUUACUGGGCGUAAAGCGCACGUAGUCGGCUUGUCAAGUCGGGUGUGAAACCCCCGGGCUCAACCUGGGAACUGCAUCCGAAACUGACUUGCUAGAGUAUGGGAGAGGGAGGCGG